rnacentral:rRNA from 1 species
GACAGAGGAUGCAAGCGUUAUCCGGAAUGAUUGGGCGUAAAGCGUCUGUAGGUGGCUUUUUAAGUCUGCCGUCAAAUCCCAGGGCUUAACCCUGGACAGGCGGUGGAAACUACCAAGCUGGAGUACGGUAGGGGCAGGGGGAAUUUCCGGUGGAGCGGUGAAAUGCGUAGAGAUCGGAAAGAACACCAACGGCGAAAGCACUCUGCUGGGCCGACACUGACACUGAGGUGCGAAAGCGUGGGGAGCAAACAGG